rnacentral:lncRNA from 1 species
GAAAGCUGUGAAGAGAAAGGCAAACUUUGAAGAGAGCAAGAAAUUUAAAGAAAGGUUGCAAGAUUAUAAAAAGGAAAUGGCUGAGAAAGAAAAUGAAUCAUAUAUUCGAAUGGAGGACAUGGAUCUUCACUGAAUUCUUUUUUGCUGCAAUCCCGCGGCUUCAACUUUGUGAAACGAAGUUCCGGACUUUUCUUUACUUCAUGCUUACACCACAUAUCUACUGUUAUAAGAUUACAGCUGAGGUCAUAUAAUCUAUUUAGAAGUUCAUAUUUCCUUCUGUGGCUGAUGCUAUUCAUGGUUAGUCUAUUUCCAUCAUAUAUAGACAAUAAGUCUUGCUCUAAGCUGGUGUUGUACUGUAAAAACUUAUGUAUGAAAUCUUCACAACUAUGAAACGAUCGACAAGUAAAU